UGGUUAAAAAGCUCGUAGUUGGAUCUCAACAGCCUUGGAAGCGGUUAACUUUGUAGUUUUACUGCUUCAUAGGCUGUGCUUUUGCUGGAGGUUUAGGGGUGCUCUUGAUCGAGUGUCUCUGGAAUGCCAGCAGGUUUACUUUGAAAAAAUUAGAGUGCUCAAAGCAGGCUAAAAUGCCUGAAUAUUCGUGCAUGGAAUAAUAGAAUAGGAUGUCAAUCCUAUUUUGUUGGUUUUCGGGACUCGACAUAAUGAUAAAUAGGGACAGUCGGGGGCAUUUGUAUUCAAACGACAGAGGUGAAAUUCUUGGACCGUUUGAAGACAAACUACUGCGAAAGCAUUUGCCAAGAAUGUUUUCAUUAAUCAAGAACGAAAGUUAGAGGUUCGAAGGCGAUUAGAUACCGCCCUAGUUCUAACCAUAAACGAUGCCAGCUAGCGAUCUGCCUGCGUUUUUACUGUAGACUGGGCAGGAAGCUUCCGGGAAACCAA
rnacentral:rRNA from 1 species